UUUCCGUAAGUGAACCUGCGGAAGGAUCAUUAAUGAGUUGUCAUGGGGUUCGAUGCUGGCAGCCAAUUUUUGGAUGCAUGUGCUUGCCCUAACAAUCAUCUUCCAAACACCUGUGCACAUUUUUGAGGGAGUCUUGAGUUGGUUGCCGCUCUUGGGUGAUUUUCUCACAUUCCCUUAAAUCAUUAUACGCUAUUAACAAUGUUGAACGUGCUCUGUGCCGCAAGGCUAUUAAUAUAAUACAACUUUUAACAACGGAUCUCUUGGCUCUC
rnacentral:misc_RNA from 1 species